UGCAGACGACCGACGAACAGGCAGCGAGCUCCUCAGGCCGGCGCGUGCGCUGAUCAGGCCGUCCAUACCAUACGCACCUGCAAAUCAAGCAAGGCGCCAACGUGAUGAGUAACAACAGCAGGCGACGAGCAAUCUCCGGAUGCCCCAAGUGCGCGCCUUGUCGACGCUUUGUGCCAGUGAGAGCGCGAGGCGCGCACUUGGGGCAUCCGGAGAUUGCUCGUCGCCUGCUAUUGUUACUCAUCACGUUGGCGCCUUGCCUGAUUUGCAGGCGCGUAGGGUACGGAGAAGAUAGUUAUACCUUAAAGGGGAAGAUGACCGUUCUCGCUGGAAAAACACCUGAAGAAAGGAAUAAAAAUGUUACUUGUGUGCAGGAAAUGAUCAAUCGGGGGUUAGACAAUUGCAGGAAAUUAUAAAUCGAGGAGAGGGGGUUAGACAAAUGCAGCAAAUGAUCAUU
rnacentral:lncRNA from 1 species